rnacentral:rRNA from 1 species
CCUACGGGUGGCAGCAGUGAGGAAUAUUGGUCAAUGGACGAGAGUCUGAACCAGCCAAGUAGCGUGAAGGAUGACUGCCCUAUGGGUUGUAAACUUCUUUUAUAAAGGAAUAAAACGAGGCACGUGUGCCUUUUUGCAUGGACUUUGUGAAUAAGGAUCGGCUAACUGCGUGCCAACAGCCGGGGUAAUACGGAGGAUUCGAGCGUUAUCCGGGUUUAUUGGGGUUAAAGGGAGCGUAGAUGGGUUGUUAAGUUAGUUGUGAAAGUUUGCGGCCCAACCGUAAAAGUGCAAUUGAUACUGGCAGUCUUGAGUACAGGUGAGGUAGGCGGAAUGCGUGGUGUAGCGGUGAAAUGCUUAGAUAUCACGAAGAACCCCGAUUGCGAAGGCAGCUUACUAA